rnacentral:rRNA from 1 species
CCUACGGGUGGCAGCAGUGAGGAAUAUUGGUCAAUGGACGAGAGUCUGAACCAGCCAAGUAGCGUGAAGGAUGACUGCCCUAUGGGUUGUAAACUUCUUUUAUAUGGGAAUAAAAUGUUCCACGUGUGGGAUUUUGUAUGUACCAUAUGACUAAGGAUCGGCUAACUCCGUGCCAGCAGCCGCGGUAAUACGGAGGAUCCGAGCGUUAUCCGGAUUUAUUGGGUUUAAAGGGAGCGUAGGUGGAUUGUUAAGUCAGUUGUGAAAGUUUGCGGCUCAACCGUAAAAUUGCAGUUGAAACUGGCAGUCUUGAGUACAGUAGAGGUGGGCGGAAUUCGUGGUGUAGCGGUGAAAUGCUUAGAUAUCACGAAGAACUCCGAUUGCGAAGGCAGUUCACUGGACUGCAACUGACACUGAGGCUCGAAAGUGUGGGUAUCAAACAGGAUUAGAUACCCGUGUAGUC